rnacentral:lncRNA from 1 species
UGGGAGGAGAGGUCGGAGGCGGCCUUGUUGACGGUGGCGAGGACGACGUGGGAGGUGGAGCGAAGGCCGACGGCGGCGGCCCCCUGCUUGACGGCCUCCAUGGCGUACUCCACCUGGAACAGACGCCCCGCCGGGCUCCAUGUCGUCACGUCCGUGUCGUACUGGUUCCUAAACAUGUCUUCGGCGUCUGUCUUCUCUUCUUCUCGAGAUCCAAAGUCCAAAGAGUCGAGGGUGGGAUUUCCCCUCUCUUAAUUCUGCUGGCCGCUGGAGGGGUAUUGCUUCUUCCCCAAGCCAAGACUUGGCCCAGCAUGGUAUAUAGGGCUGGUUGGGUCAGAACCCAUACAGUCCAAACUUGUGGAGGUCACAACCCAUAUUUCAUUGAGCUUACUAUUUAGGCCUUUUUCUUAAUGUUUAUACUAUUAGCAGUCUCUAAUUAUUUUUAAUUUCUUAAAAAAACUAUAAGAUAAUAAUUUACUAUUUACAAUCCCACUAAUUCUGAUUUUAUUUUUUGCUUCCUUUCUCAUAGUCCAUUGUGAUCAUUGUCUUUGCACUUUAUUGUCAUCGCCACUUCCUAACCUGUAUUUUUUAUCGUCAAUCGCGACUCUCAACCUAAGCUUCUUAUUGUCAAUAUCGAUACUUUCUAGUUUACACUCGCUACCACUAGUACUUUUUUAGUCCACUCCUUUUACUAUUAAUUAAUACUCCUUAGCUCAUACUCCAUAUCGCCUGAUCUCACUCGUUGCCCCAUCGACAUUAUCCUUUGAAUAGGAGGAAGAAGAAGAAGAAGAAGAAGAGGAGGGGGAGGAUGAAGAAUGAAAAUAUUUAUGUCUAUUUAUAAAAGGAUAAAUAUUCUAUUUUAUUUCGUCCAACCAUUUUUACCAAAAUACCCUUAAUAUUUUAUUUAUUAAUCGAUAUAUUCUCCACCCUUCAUGUUAUAUUAUUCAUUGACUUAAUGAAUGAUUAUAAUUAUUAAGUAGAUCUCGAUCGUCGGAUUUAGUUGGGUCUCAAAUACCAUUUUAUUCUUGGACAAUCGAUACUUUCAAAAAAAAAUAUACUGAUACACCCAGAAAAUAUAAAAAUCGAAGAUUUUAUCGAAAACCUAAGUUGAUUGCAUUUGCAAUUUCUUAAUUUGUUUGACCAAGAAAAAUUCAAUAUAUUUCGGUCAUUGAUAUUCAUUCGAUCACAUAUUAAGACACAUCAUCAUGAUUUGGUGAAUGUUUGUUCAAAUUAGGACACUGCAUCGAUGCCUUGUGUUUGCAUUAGCAAAUGAAGUUGAGGUUCGUAUUGGGUUUGAGUUGUUAAGCUUCUCAAUGGAUCGAGCCAAAUGAGUAUCGAGGCAAAAGUUUCUUCAAUAUCACUUUGAUAAAAAGCACAAUUGAAAAAGGUAUAAAAAUAAGGGAGUAGCAAUAAUCUCCUUUAGCCUCACUUGCGAUGAUUCCCUCUAAAACAAGAGUGUCCUCCUUACCAAUGCCUAAUGACCCUUCUCCCCCAUCUCAUGGGUUAGGUUCUUUAGAUGUGCUCAUGAUGUUAAUUCUUGGAGAUUAUAUAUUGCUUUGAAGACUAAACUCCAAAUGAUCACAUUUCAAUCUUCCUUAUAUGUAGAGCUCGGCAUGACGGAGUUGUGGCCAUUUCGAGACUCCUUGAUCCUUGCCCUAUACAAAUAAGUUUUUAGGCAAAGCACCUCCCUCGAAUUCCUUCUGUCUUUUCUCCUUAAGUUAUAAGGUUUGCCUUCUAAAGCCCACACCAGUGAACUUCUCUUAAUGGGUGAUAUUGCUGCGUCGCCUCCAGCCCAUUAAAGCUGCUAUCUCCUUCCAACUCUUUUUCCAUCCGGAUCAGGAAGGAUUGUAUGGAGAUAGUCGAUUUUGCUGAUAGAAUAUGAUAAAACAUAUUUUGGAUCUCGAUCAUGUGGACCCAGACACACGAUGAUGCAGACGUGAAACUUUAAAUCUGAUGUGACGCAUAGCACACACGUGGUAGACAGUCGCUCGUAGCCCCCCUAUAUGAACAACAUCGGUAUAGUUGUCUCGAAAAACUCGGGGCGACGUCGACUCGUGCAGGUUGGUCGACACUCACACAAAAACUUAAGCAGGCUACAUGAGAAGUCGACCCUCUAACUCCCUCUAACUCCACUCAACAUUGACUUGAACUUCGGAUGGGUCGAGUUGGGAAAUCCUCCUCCCGACCUCAACCCUUGUGCAGGAACCGACAAUGAAAUAACAGCAACCCACCGAGGAAGAACCGUGCUCGGGAGACAACAUUUGGACCUAACCCGACCCAACAUCGACGUGACUCGAACAUCUACGUGAGCAACUCUACGUAUCCGGGACUGAACCGAGCCGUGCUAACACCUCAACCACGAGGUAAAGGUUACCAACAGAAUCGAUCUCUCAUAAUCUUUGGUUUUUUUUUAUAGUUUUUUAUGAGUUUAUUUUAUGAUAAUUUUCCUCUUAUGGAUGAGCUCAAAGUUAACAUUUCUCGCAUACUCUGUUCCUCUAACAUUGUAAGCCACUUGUUGGUCCGAUCUCACUCUUCACGUUUCUUUUCCUCUUCGCUUUAAUCCUGAAAUCAAUAUAGCAUUUUUUUUCUUUUUGUAAAAAAUAAUAACACCUGAAAUUAUAUGCAACGCAGCUGAACGGUCAUUACUGUAGAUGGAGGAUCAACACAUCCUUAGCUGUUCUACUUGGGCCGGCAUGUUUUAGGUUUCAUCUUUCUCAAAGUUGACUUCCCUAGAUUUAAUAUCUCUAAAUCGGUGACAUCAUGAUCGAAGAAGAACCCGGUUCCAACUACUGCUUGUUCCUCUCAUCUAAUCGGUGACAUUAUGAUGGAGGAAGAACCCGAUUCCGACCACUACUUUUUCCUCUCGAGUGCGUUUCACCAUCGCCCUUACACUACCUUUGGUCGAAAGAAGAAGAUUGCCGGUAAUCUUAUCCUUUCCGGGGUGACGAAAGAACACGAUCUAAAGCAUACUGAUCGUCUCGCGAACCACAUGUUGUGGCCAUUUUGUCUAGCGACAGAGUUCUUAUUGCAGGCGUGUCACACAAAAGCACCAGAUUCUUGGACCAUACUAAUCGAUCCUUCGGUGCUGCUUUAGCAUCUCAUCCGGUCGCGACCUCUACUGAUCCCGCAAGUCAUCGAAGGAAGACUUUUUGAACCGUCGACAUUUAUGGGUACAUGAUUCAGUCUCGAGAAAGCAACUCGGUGCAUGCGUACCAUACCUAACACUUUGCGAAGCUAAAGAGGAUCUGAGCGAAUACACACACACGCACGCCAUGACGUACGUGAUUGCUUUACAGUGGCUGACAGCAAGUCGGGAUCAAAGUAAACUGGGUGGCUAUGCGGGUGUUUGUGGAUUGACUUUUGAAUGCUUCCAUUCCCUCUCUCUUCGACCGCCACGACAUCCUCCACCCACCCCGGCCUUAUUUUAGGAGGCUUUGUUUGCGGACUAUUUGUGACGAGUUCGAGAGUUUGACGUCAAAUGAGGAUUGAAAAUGAGCAGCUUCUUGUGUUCUUAGAGAAUUAUUGUUAGCUCCACCAACCAUUGCCCAUUCAUUUGACUUCUCUUCUUCACCCAAGCCAUUACGUAAAACAUUUUAAUUCGGCCUCACAGUUCCGUUUGAUUGUGGACGAUAUGUCUUUUUUAUUGCGUGCGAAUCUGACUCAAGAAUCGCCCAUUUUAUUCGUGGUUAUGAAUUAUUCAUUCAAGUGCCACUUUCAACUAUAGCCUCAUAUCAUUUUCUGCAAUGGAAGACUCUUCUUGCCAUGCCAGCGUUUGCAGGUUUCAGGUAAAGAAAGAUGGCUCCUGUAGUGUAGCAAUCUAUUCGCACGAUCUCUUGUUAGGUAUUGACCAACUAAAGCUGCGAAGGAAUCUAAAAAAUGCACAAAAAAUGAAGUAGCUAAUCACGAUGACGCAACAUUACUACUGCCAUCGUAAGUCGCAUUCGAGUGAUCCUAAUCUCUACUAAAUGACCAAAUCAUGUGAUGAGGGUAAAAAUGGCGACAUAGUGCGUUAUGACGUCAGCCAUGCCUGGACGACAAACAGCCCGAGGAAGUGGGCAUUAACGCCGACUUGAUGUGCGCCAACGUCAACCGCUCCCAGACAGUGACUUCAUCGUCUGACCCCGCGCACUCGGCCGAGGCAGAGGAGGACAUCGACCGAGCCUCGCUCAUACCCCGCGGUAGUUCGGUUCUCCACGCAACACCAACGGCAAUGUCAGACGCCAUCAGAGGUACGAUCCUGCUCCUGCAGGCAGGCACAUCAGGUAACAUCAAACUCACCUAUAAAUACCCCAGAGUUCUAAACGAACAGGGGAGGACGAACACAAAAACCUUUAUUCAUCUGAAAUCUUCUUCACAUCCACUAAUUUGAUCGUCGGAGGGGUCGGGUCGAGCUCUCCCGACCCGACCUGUGUGCAGGUAUAAGGACGGGGUCACUUUUUCCAGGCACCGCGGUAGAGUCGCCCUCCCCGAGACGAGACGUCCCGACUGAACCACCGUAACAGACCGCCGGGGCAAUCCCGAAGAACGCCGUACAAAAUCCCCGUCAUUCGGACCUCCAACCAAGCCACGACGACCCCGAGGCCACGACAUAAAGUUGUUUACACUAACAUCAUGCAUAAAAUGGUGUCAUGUCAUCAAGAGGGAACAUAAUUACGGAUCGAUGACCGUAAGUAAUCUCUAGAAAAUGACCGAAUCGUGUAUCUGAGUGCAUCCGAUCGGCGUGGUCUGGGAGAGCAGGCAAGCGCUGCUGCGUGGAAACGGAGGAGGCGCACCGAGUCAACGGCGUAUGACUCGAGGGGAAUGCCACGGUCACCCAAAACACAUACCACGGGUUGACUGCAAGAAAAUGACUCGAGUUUACGAUUUGUUUCAGAGCUCAAGUCAUCGAUCGAGCCCAUCUCACGAUGCCACCAACCUCGUUACGCAUCCUUGCCCAUGUUUCACACGUUCACGCCACAUCUUUUGAUAUUAUAUUUUUCUUCCUUUUUUUUUGUAAUUCGCUUGACUGACUUGGCAAAAUACGCAAUCUUGCGUCGAUGCAUAGGUUGAUGAAUGGUCCGAGAUAAUUGCGAGCGGAUCGUCCUCGGCGAUAGCGGUGUCGUGUGUGCGAAGAAAAUGUUGAAAUCGAUACAGUUGUUUCGGCGUUUUCUAACCAAUCCUUGUUUCAGGGACGGACGGACGGACGGACGGCUACUUCAAAAUACCACAGUACCAAUAAAUUCUUGCCUUCACCAAUAAUUUCCAAAUAAGGGAAUGAAUGCGGUGAAGGAGAUCGGUUGCCAUUAUUCAAACAAUCCAAUCCAAUGGGAGUUGUUUUCCUUGAUCCGCAGUUUGGUGGGUUCCCCGAAAUUACCAUGUCCGUAGACUGGACUCGGUCCUCCAUGGCUGCUCGCCUGUUCCCGAUAGGCUGCGGUCCGCGAUUAUGUUAUUUGUGGCGGUUGUCCGCUUUAACUUGUCAGAAUGGGUGGUUGGUAACAUACGUCGGACAGCGUCUCACCAAUCGCCAGAGGGCAUCGUCAAACUCCCCAUUUCCGACUGAAUUAUUGCAGGCUGACCGACCCGAAAAGGCUCCCUUGUUUCGUCCCACCACGUGAAGUCCAUCUAUAUCAAGACGCCAAGUAUGCGCCUUGCUUCGUCCCACCGUCGUUCACCACCUCUGCCGAUAUCCCUCGAGCGAUCAUUUGGUACAUCGAUUCCGACGGCAGAGGAUGGACAGCUUCGACGCCUUCCCCAGACCGCAGAGCGCCGACGGUCCGGCCACCAUCCUGGCCAUCGGGACCGCCAAUCCGGCGAACGUGAUGGACCAGAUGGAGUAUGCCGAUUACUACUUCCGAAUCACCAACGCAGAGGACAAGACGGAACUCAAACGAAAGUUCAAGCGCAUAUGUAAGUACAUGGAGCUGUUCCUCCUCCUCCUCCUCAUCGAUUCACGCUCUUCUGGCGUUUCUUUCGCACGUUAUGUAUAUAUGUGUGUGCAGUGGGUUUUGUGAUGAUAUCUGAGAGGAAAAAACUGAUCGUUUGUUGAUUCGUUGCAUGCGUACAGGUGAGAAGUCGACGAUCAAGAAGCGUCACAUGAGCCUGACGGAGGAGAUCCUGAAGAAGAACCCGAGCCUGUGCGAGUACAUGGCACCGUCCUUCGACGCCCGGCAGCUGAUAGUGCUGGAGGAGGUGCCGAGGUUGGCGAAGGAGGCGGCCGCCAAGGCCAUCAAGGAGUGGGGCCGCCCCACGUCGGACAUCACCCACCUGGUCUUCUGCUCCGCCGCCGGGUUGGACAUCCCUGGCGUCGACUACCGUCUCCUCCAGUUACUAGGCCUCCCUGUUUCUGUUCGCCGCGUGAUGCUCUACAACGUGGGCUGCCACGCCGGCGGCACCGCACUCCGCGUGGCCAAGGACCUCGCCGAGAACAACAAGGACGCACGUGUCCUGGUGGUCUGCUCCGAGCUCAACGUCAUGUUCUUCCGCGGCCCAGACGACGACCACUUCGAGAACCUCAUCGGCCAGGCCCUCUUCGGCGACGGCGCUGCGGCGCUCAUCGUCGGAGCGGACCCGGUCGAGGGGGCCGAGAAGCCCAUCUUCCAGUUGGCCUCGGCGUCGCAGGUGAUGCUGCCGGAGAGCGAGGAAAUGGUGGCGGGACACCUGAGGGAGAUCGGUCUGACCUUCCACCUGGCGAGCAAGCUUCCGGCCAUCGUGGGCAGCAACAUCGAGCGAUGCCUGGAGGGGGCGUUCGAGCCGCUGGGCAUCACGAACUGGAACGAGCUGUUCUGGAUAGUGCACCCAGGGGGACGGGCCAUCAUCGACCAAGUGGAGGCCAGGGCGGGGCUGGCGCCGGAGAAGCUGGCGGCGACGAGGCACGUGCUCAGCGAGUACGGGAACAUGCAGAGCGCGUCGGUGCUCUUCAUCAUGGACGAGAUGAGGAAGCGAUCGGCGAUGGAGGGCCACGCCACCACCGGCCAGGGCUGCCAAUGGGGGGUGCUCUUCGGCUUUGGCCCCGGCCUCACCGUCGAGACCGUCGUCCUCCACAGCGUCCCUAUCUAGUCCGUGGGGGUUGGGAUCCCCUCCGUGAAAACUACAUUACAUCGGUGGCUUUUAACCGUUAUUCUUGUACUACACUGCACGCUGCUAAGACUCGUGGGAGGGGCGAUGUCGAUUAAAUAAGGAAUUGGAUGGAUCUCCCGUCCCGGACGACUUCAGGGCGACGGGGACUCCAUCAUACGUGGUGUGGAGCAUGAUACGAUUAAUGUUUCUUCCUCUUCUUUUUCCUGUACAAUCCAUCGUAUGCUGGUUUGCGUCAAUGGAAAACUAAGCCAAAGCCUCGUGGGUCCUUUCGGGGUAUCAAGCAAAGAGGAGAUUGAUUGCACGCACCGUAACGAGUGUCUUUACCCGAUCGAUAAGCUCGCGGAUCCAAGAGAGGGAAAAUAGAAGAAUCUCAACGACUCGAUUAUUCAUGUUUUCUGAAUCAAAAAUAAUCGUUGCCAUCGAAGUAGGCGUGUGGUUGAGAUUUAAAAGGAGUCGUCCGAUGGACGGUCAUCCUUUUCCAUAUUCCGACAUAGAUAUCAUAAAAUCUGGACCGAUCCUUUGUCGGACUAUACCAGAGUCUUUCCUCCUGUCGGAUACAAACGAAGACCAACCCGGCGCAUGAUUCCGGAACCGUCUUUUGACUCCACCACCGUCAGUGCGUAUUGAUAGGAGGGAAAUGGAAUGGCAGCUUGCUGGGUGGCCUUCUCCUCGUUUGAUCACCUUCAACCAAACCAAGUCAAUUGUCCGCGCAGCCGAACCACGAUGAAAAGGACGCUUAGCACUGCUUGCCCUACGGAACAAUCCAAAACCACAUGAGCCGGUCCCAACAUGUCAAAAUAAAGAAAACGCGAGUCUAUUUUGUUCGUUCGACCCUUGGGAUGCGAUGGUUGGAGACCGGCUUGGCAGCUUCUUUAGUUCUACAGGUUCCACUCGAAGGGUCAACGCAAAUUAAAAGACCGGCAUCCCAAUCUUCAAACCAAAUACCUGUUUGCGUAUCGCAGCAUGCUCGAUGAAUUGCUCAUGAAAACUACAUAUUUAUCAUUUAUUGCGGGCUUCGGAUGCUCUUAAUUCGGAGCGUUUUGUAUCUACGAUUGACUCGGUGGGAGAUGCAUGGAUGUCUUAGUCUUAGCUCAGCAACUAUGGCCACUGUGUUUGCCAUUCCGGGUGGGUUCGGUCAAGUGUCCGAAUCAAGUCGGUCACGCCAUCUAACACCGCGAGGGAUGAGGUAAGCUGACGAAUGGACAAAGGGAUAAACCAACGCUCGGACUGAUGCCUGAGAACCACCUGUUGCCGACACAUGGACCUACUCCUUGCGUUGGCAUCACCUCAUGCUGACAUCCGCAACGUUUUUCACUUGCUUGGGUGAGAGCACUCCUUUUCGAAACGACAUUUGUCCAACCUGUACGUCCUCGAAUGGGUGUUGGGUAGAACGCAAGCGAUUGUUAUCAACAUUAACACUCGAAUGAUCCAUGCAAUGGUGGAGAGAGACGUGGGUGGACCACAGCAUUAACCUCUUCCUCCAAACCAAGUGGCGAGGAUCGGAAGUCUAAUUUGUGGCUCGAUCGGGUUGGCGAUCGACGUCCGGUCACACACGGGAACAUACGCGGCGAGAAACGAGUCGGGAGCGGUUGGUGAGGGCCUCGUCUGAGGAUGACUUCCUGUCGCAGUAUCUCCACCACGACGCUUACGAUAUUUGCGAUGGCUCCCAACAAUUAUUCCGUGGAUGUCAGCAUUUUCUCCAAGAGCGUUGAGAGGUAAGCCGCAGCCAUCCACCGUAAACGGGAGUAGGUGGAGCAAAUGUUUGCUAGCGCCAAAGGAAGACCGAGUACAAAGAAAGCAUGGUCAUCUACAGAGGGAAGAAACAGAGGAGACACGGCCAAGUAAGCUUGCUUGAAGCCUUACAAAUUCCAUGAGAUAAGGUUACCAGAAAGGAUUAUAGCGACUGCGCACGCAUACAUUAGGAAUCCUUGGGAAAGAGGGAAGGGGUGAGGGUGGGUACAAGCGGGGGAUCGUCUUUCCCUAUAUAUAUAUAUCAUAGAUAGCCGAAGGAGGUGAGUCACUUCCAAGAUCUAGAUUUUGGAGCUUGAGCUUCGACGCAGGUAAAUAUGUCCAGCCUCCACGCCAUGCGCAAGGCACAGAGGGCUCGAGGUCCGGCCACCAUCAUGGCCAUCGGGACCGCCAACCCUCCCAAUCUCUACGAGCAGAGCACGUAUCCGGAUUACUACUUCCGCGUCACCAACUCCGAGCACAUGCAGGAGCUGAAGCACAAGUUCCGGCGCAUCUGUAAGAGACUCUGUUCUAUAUCUUUCUCUGAAAAUUCUUGCGAGUCGACCGUAGAAUCUUUCUGCGGAGAUGACCACACACACACACACGCACACGCUUGAACGCUGCGAUUCACUCUUUUUUGCCAAUCCAUUCGUUCUUCUUCGUCUUCGCUUAUUUAGCGUCCAUGUCAGACUCGCUCAGAGCAGAUAUAACGUAAUCGUCGAGGGAGGUUAACUAACUUUGCCGUUCAUGUUUCCUGCCUAUAUACGGACCAUAACGUAAUCGUCGGGUUAAACGUGAGUCUUCAACUGGCGUCUUUAUGGUACUGCCUAGGCGUGUUAGCAGUUUAAUUAUUGCAACAGAUCGAGAGGUCCACAAUUAGUCUGCAUUACGAGUCACUGAAACAUGCAUGCAUCCAAACCAGAGCAAGCAAGAAAAGAGCUACUAACUUGGCUCUGUUUUUUGCUUGCCAUGUUCGUCGGACGAAGGCGAGAAGACCAUGGUCAAAAGACGCUACCUCUAUCUCACGGAGGAGAUCCUAAAAGAACGGCCAAAACUGUGCGCCUACAUGGAGCCAUCUUUCGACGACCGGCAGGACAUCGUGGUGGAGGAGGUGCCCAAGCUGGCCAAGGAAGCCGCCGCCAAGGCCAUCAAGGAGUGGGGCCGCUCCGUGUCCGACAUCACCCACUUGGUCUUCUGUUCCAUCAGCGGCAUCGACAUGCCCGGCGCCGACUACCGCCUCGCCAAGCUCCUCGGCCUCCCCCUAUCCGUCAACCGCAUCAUGAUCUACAGCCAGGCCUGUCAUAUGGGCGCCGCCAUGCUCCGCAUCGCCAAGGACCUGGCCGAGAACAACAAGGGCGCCCGGGUGCUCGUGGUGUCCUGCGAGAUCACCGUGCUCAGCUUCCGAGGCCCGGACGAGCACGACUUCCAGGCUCUCGCAGGCCAAGCGGGGUUCGGCGACGGGGCAGCUGCGGUCAUCGUGGGCGCAGAUCCCAUCCAAGGCGUGGAAAAGCCGAUCUACGAGAUCAUGUCGGCCACGCAAGUGACGGUACCGGAGAGCGAGAAGGCCGUCGGUGGCCAUCUCAGGGAGGUAGGCCUGACCUUCUAUUUCUUCAGCCAGUUGCCGAUGAUCAUCGCCGACAACAUAGAACAUAGCCUGACCGAGGCUUUCAAGCCCCUGGGGAUCGCCAACUGGAACGACAUCUUCUGGGUGGCGCACCCGGGGAACUGGGCGAUCAUGGACGCCAUCGAGCGCAAGCUGGGGCUCCAGCCGGAGAAGCUCAGCACGGCGCGGCAUGUUUUCUCCGAGUACGGGAACAUGCAGAGCGCCACUGUGUACUUCGUGUUGGACGAGGUCAGGAAGCGAUCGGUGACGCAAGAGCGGUCCACCACCGGUGACGGACUGCGGUGGGGCGUGCUCUUUGGGUUUGGCCCCGGGCUCAGCAUCGAGACCGUCGUGCUCCGCGGUGUGCCACGCUAGGGAUUUCCAUCCCCCCGUAAUGAUGCACGUAAGUAAUCAUCAAUCUAAUCUAGUGUGCUCUCCAGAUGUGUUGUGUGAAUUGUGACGACGCUGUAAACGAAUCACGCUCUUUCCUUGCUGGGUUUGGCCAAAAAGAAGGGAUACGAUGGUGGCAUGUAUGUACAUGAGGAACCAUCCCGUGUUCAAUGAAUUGAACCCAAAAAUAUCCCUUUUGAUCGUACGGAGACAUCCUUGUCGAUCGCCAUCAUCUUGAACGAAGCCCAAAUUUCAUCGGCCGACUCGUCCUGCGUGUGACAAAUGAAAUAUCGAGCGACAAUUGAUUAGAUGUCUUUACAUAGAAUAGCUUCGAAAUUUCCGAGUAAACUGAGAGUAAUCUGUAGCUCAGCUUCUGCUGGUGCACGCAUUUUUUUUGCUUUUCGUAGUUAGUUAUGAGCAAAGCCAAGUGGAUGACAUGAGUUUGGGGAAAGCCAUGCGGUAAAAUGAUACCUGAUUAGACUACAUGGAGUCUAGUCGCUGAGCAAUUCAAAGAUCCCCGGUAGUUACAUCUCCAUAAGGAAAUUUCAUAUGGGCAAUUGCACCUGAUGUGGGGGUGGGUGUUCAGAAUUGAUUGGCCAAACACAAAGGCAACUUUUAAGUGGGUGGGUUCUUUCCUUAAGUGACAAGUAAAAGACAACGGGAAAAAAAGAGGCCACGCGGCUCAUGUACUUACUCUCUCUCUCUUUCUCUCAGGAGAGCUGCCAUGUGGGACCCGCACUUCAGCUCCGACGCACGGGAAAUGAAGUGCCACGUUAUUUACAACGGAAAAACUAUCGCUCGAUAAUUUAUUAUGGUAACAGAUAUAUAUAUUAUUUCUUUUGAGAAGCAUCAAAUUCUCUUUGAAUGUGCAUGCUAACGCUAUUUGAAGUGGGAUACAAGAUGGAACACCGGAAGAGGCGUGAGUACAGCAGAGACGCAAAGAUGCUUGAAAGGAACAACGAGGACGGAGUCUGAAUCUGAAACUUAAUGGACGCACCUCGAAUAUAUAUAUAUAUAUAUAUAUAUAUAUAUAUAUCCACCGUUCGAGAAGCUGGAACCAUGAAUUAAACAGGUAAGUACUGGACCUAUAAUGCCCUGUGUGGAUUUUUGUUGGAAACCCGGCAAAGAACCAUAAAAUUACACCUCGUCGUCCUGGGAUCAGGUGAUCGUCCGGGCCUGGGAUGAGGGAUUCUGGAUUUCUCUGGUAAUGCUAACUUAAACCGAAACACAGCAUAUUUCCACUAUGAGACCAUAGAGAUCUCUAGUAUUACACCAAUUAAACCGGAAGAUCUACAUACAUACUAUUAGCUAUACAUCAAGACGUUUCUACGUGCUUGAGAUCUUGGCGCCUGCCUCGUCGUGGUGAUGGCCGUUCAAUUAUCGUAGUCCAUGAUUCGAAAGUGGACUCAGGAAAUAAAAUAUGGCUUCUUCAAUAUGAGGGGCGGGCAGAGCCAAUCGCACUGGUUUCUUUGAAGACCAUCACAGAUCAGAGAAGAAAAACCUGGCCAUGUAACUUUCCAUCUUUAAAAAAACAUGUAGAACUAAUCAAAGGCCUAAGACAUUUCUAUAGCUGUUUCCGUGCACCAAACAGGGGAGAGAGGUUGGUGAAGACCACUUGUGUAUGUAUAUAAUAAUAUAAUGUUUUCUGCAAAGGUUGGUGAAGACCUUGUGGAUGAUAAUGAUGGUUGCGUGGACUGAUCGUACUCAGGAAGCGAUUGAGUCGGGAAAUGGAGGCCAGCUCGUGACGGCGUAUCGGAAGCCGCAGAUGUGCGUGAGUUGCAUGGGCGGUAGGUGUGCGUGCUCAUCUCCGAUUUCAAAGCAACCGGUGGUGAAGUCAUAUCUCGACCAAUUGGGUAUUAGUGACUGACUCGUUGGUUCUACGUUCCACCAAGUGCCCACACAUCGCCAUCGUCGCUUCUCUCUCUCUCUCUCUCUCUCUCUCUCUCUCGGGUUUAAGCGCACGCUUAAGCAAGCCUUCUUUAUCCGCUACCAUAGUCUGUCUUCAUUUUUUUUUCUUUGUGCGACCAAACGAAUAUAUAUUAUCAAUCAAUAAUUGAUAUAUCUGAUGACAACGUUUCAGGGUGACGGAAUGGCUGACCGAAUCAAUUGCCAUCGUCAUCUACGUGAGGAACCAGUCUAUAAGUUUGACUAAAGCAACAAUGAAGGUAGGUCUGUUUGCACUUAGACAUUCUUUUUAUAGAAUUAUUAUUAUUAUUAUUAUUAUUAUUAUUAUUAUUAUUAUUAUUAUUAUUAUUAUUAUUAUUAUUAUUGAUGAGGGUAAUAAUUAGGGUAAGACUCGCAUGACAUCCGCUAGCCCAAAUGACGCCCCACGGGCCGACAGCACCUGGUCAACACGGACCAGAACACCUACCAAGGCACAUUAACACUCCCCUCCGGCUCAACCCCUCACGCCAUGCCAACGGCGAUGUCAGACGCCACUAGGAGUACGAUCAUGCUCCAUGUGGGCAGGCACACCAGGUAACGGUAAUUCUUACUAUAAAAACCCUCGCGCCGACAGCACCUGAUCAACACAGACCAAGAACACCUACCAAGGCACAUUAACACUCCCCUCGGCUCGAUCCCUCACGCCACGCCAACAGCGAUGUCAGACGCUAUCAGGAGUACAAUUCUACUCCCUGUGGGCAGGCACACCAGGUAACGGUAAUUCUCACUAUAAAAACCCUCGCGCCCCAAAAGAGGGGAGAGAGGAACAAAAGAAAACCCCUACUACUCUUCACUAAUUGGAUUAUCGGAGGGGUCGGGUCGAGUCUCCCGACCCGACCUAUGUGCAGGGACAAAGACGGGGUGCCUCCCAUCGCGUGCCCAGGCAAGGAGUCCCCUCCCAGAGGGAAUGACCGACCCGCCCCGAUCCAACCACCGCGGUCGGCCACCUCAGCAGUCUCAAAGGUCGUUGAGGAAGAUCCCCAAUCAUUCAGACCCGAACCCAGUCACGUCGACCUCGAGACCACGACUUAAGGUUGUUUACACUAACAAUUAUUAUUAUUAUUAUUUCCCUCCUAAGUUGUUUUAUUAGUAAUUCUCGACGAGAUUAUAAUAACGAUGCCUCAUCACUUUGUAGUUUGGUUCCAGUGGUUGGGAAAAACGAUUCAUAUAGGUUCCAGCGGAGUGGAUGGAUGUUAACGAAAGUGGUGUACAAUAAUAUUAUUUCAAUAGAUAUUUAUAUAUUGAUAUAAAAAAUAUUGUUGACAUCUUGAUAUGGUUUGGACCCAAAUACAUAGGAUUAUUCGAGAUGUCUCAGAAUGUUAAACUGUUGAUAUGUUAUUUUUACGAAGAUCAAAGUUAAUUGAAAGCAUCCAAUAUUUUUCUUUUACUUAUUGUUUGUUUCUAUGUCACUACAUCCAUAUUUAUUUGACAUUAAAAAAAUAUUUCUUAUAUUUUACGAUAAGUUGACCUGUCAAGUUAGCUAUUUUUAAGAUUAUUAAAAUAGGUUCUGAUUGAAUUUGAGUCGAACCAAUCCAAAGCCGUAAAACUUUUUUAUUUAAUUCGAUCGAUCAUUCUAAAAAAUCUGCACCUCUAAUUAAUGCACAAUCCAUCUAUCGUUUCACGAGCACAAAGACAACUGAAAUCAUACAAUAAUUGAUAUCUCGACAGGAAUCCAAAUAUGUCGAAUCACUUAUAUCAAUGAUAGAUUUAUUGGUAGAUCAACGAAGAUUAUCACAGUAAGAAAGAUGAGAAUUAAUCGUGGAGUCUACAGUGGCAUUGGUCUGGCCGAAGACAAAGGCGAAACUUUAUUUUUCUCGGGGACGUUGAUCGCUGGCCAAGAGAAAAAGGCUUAGAGAAAUCUAACAGCAAGUUCAUAAUUAUAAUUCGUCAUCCAUGAGUACGCGCGUUUCUGUUCAUGCUUUGAGGUCUUGCCGAUGCUGGUGGUAGUGGCGGUGGCCGCCGAAGGUCGCACCGAAGCAACCCAAGAGUCGGGAGUUUGAAUACUCGAUCGGAAUCGACCAAGUAUGCUUCCUGCAAAUAUUAGCAAGCGGAUAUAUCCGUGCUGAGAUCUCAGUCGUUAAUAGCUUGUUUGUUUUUCCUCAUCACAUCCGAACAACUCGGUGGAAUACUCUGCGUAUGUCAACAGGCUAUUCGAAGGGUCUUGUUGUUUGUCACCGGGGAUGAAAAUGACGACGGCGGUACAAGGAUUGGCUUGGUUUUGAGAGGCGGAGCCGAAUGAGUGCCAGUCCAUUACCGUGAACAGGAAAACCCUGGCCAUGUCUCUUAACGCUAAGAAAUCAUAUACGUAGAGCCAAUUCGAGGCCUACGAAGCCAUAGAUGUCUAAUACUGUUUGCUGGAUGCAAAACGAGGCGAGAGGGGGUUGGUGGGAUGCAGUGGGUAGGUGAAGACCACUUGUAAAUAAUCAAGUAUUUUAUUUUCUUUCUUUCUGAAGAGGUUGGUGAGAAUACCUAAACCAAUAUAGUAUGGACUCACCCCGCAGUUGAAUGCAAUGGGUUGACUCGGGAAGAAGGGCGAAGUUGGUGGAGAAGCUCCGGAUGACGACGACGUACAUAUAUCCAAGCAAUGUGUCAUCCAUCCAUCUAUUAAUGUUCAAUAGCCCCGCCACUUUGGUGCUACCGAUUCGUUCAACGUUCAAAGUAAAUGCCUACUCGAUCAACGGAAGUUGGCACGCCUAACCGUGAUGGAAACAGAGGAUACUGUAACACUGACACCCGAAACACCCUAUAUAAAGCAUAUGACGAAGGAGAAACUCCCCGCUCAUCAUCCCACUGUUUUAUCCCGCAUCACUCAUCCGACGUUUUCGCUGCAACUAUGGCUGGUAUCAGUACCUUCCGAAAGGCUCAAAGACCUCAAGGUCCAGCCACCAUCAUGGCCAUCGGGACGGCCAAUCCCCCCAACCUCUACGAGCAGAGUACUUUCCCGGACUUCUACUUCCGGGUCACCAACUCCGACCACAUGCCAGAACUCAAGGACAAGUUCCGCCGCAUCUGUAAGUUUAUAUCUGUGCGAUACGAUUCUUCGUCGAAACAUUCCUUUCCUAAUCGGAAAAAGAAAAAGGCUAACAUGCGCUGUCGAUCGCUCUGUACGUGAAGGUGGCAAGACCAUGAUCAAAAAGCGGUACAUGCACCUCACGGAGGAGGUCCUCAAGCAGAAACCUGGAAUGUGCUCCUACAUGGACCCCUCCUUCGACGAGCGCCAGGAAAUCGUGGUGGAGGAGGUGCCGAGACUCGCCAAGGAAGCCGCCGCCAAGGCCAUCAAAGAGUGGGGCCGCGACAAGUCCGGCAUCACCCACUUGGUCUUCUGCUCCACCAGCGGCAUCGACAUGCCCGGCGCCGACUACCGCCUGGUCAAGCUCCUGGACCUCCCCCUAUCCGUCAACCGCAUCAUGCUCUACAACCAGGCCUGCCACAUCGGUGCCCAGAUGCUCCGCAUCGCCAAGGACAUCGCCGAGAACCACAAGGACGCCCGUGUGCUCGUGGUGGCCUGCGAGCUCAACACGCUCAUCUUCCGAGGCCCAGACGAGCGCGACUUCCUGAGCCUCGCAGGCCAAGCCGCAUUUGCGGAUGGAGCAGCAGCGGUCAUCGUCGGCGCGGAUCCAAUCCAAGGCGUCGAGAAGACCAUCUUCGAGAUGAUGUCUGCGGAACAAGUGACCGUACCCGACUGCGAAAAAGCCGUCGGAGGCCACCUCAAGGAGAUCGGUCUCACCUUCCAUUUCAUGAACCAGCUUCCCAUGCUCAUCUCCAACAACUUGGAGAACUGCCUCCUGGAGGCGUUCAAGCCAUUAGGCAUCACCGACUGGAACGAGGUCUUCUGGGUGUCACACCCGGGAAACUGGGGAAUCAUGGACGCCAUCGAGAAGAAGGUGGGGCUCAAGCAGGAGAAGCUCCGCUCGUCGAGGCAUGUGUUCGGUGAGUACGGGAACAUGAUGAGCGCCACGGUUCUCUUCGUGAUGGACGAUGUGAGGAAGCGGUCGGCGGCGGAGGGGCGGGCGACAACCGGCGAUGGGUUGGAGUGGGGAGUGCUCUGCGGCUUUGGACCGGGCCUCACCAUCGAGACCGUGGUGCUUCGCAGUGUGCCUCUUUAGAUUUCCCAGCAGAAACAGGACUUUUUAUGUACUGUAAAUAAAAAAAAAGGACCUCAAUUACGCUAAAAUGUGUGUGUUCUUAAAAUAAAAAUUAUAGCUCGUAAGUCGCUAGUUUUUUCUUUCGAUUUUUUUGUUAGUAUGUUCAUCGGGUUGCUCAUUACAAAUAAACCUCCACCAUCUAUCACACUACUGUAAUCGUUUUGAUCCAUGAUAUAUGAGUAAACUUGACCAGUUAUAUAUAUAUAUAUAUAUAUAUAUAUAUAUAUAUAUAUAUAAUUGUAAAUCUGUAUUGCUGAUUAUUAAUUAAUAUUUUUCACUAUAUUUAUCUUCCUGUAUUUACCAUCGGCAUGCUCCGUGAUAAAGGUUAUAAAAACGGGUCAAAGUCCUCCGACUACUAAACUAAACUGUGGCCUCUUAAUUAACAUUUUUAAUCUUUCAAAAACAAAUGAUCGUAUUACAAUUAUCGAUCUAUCUAUAUAGGCCUAAAAUAUAAGAAAAAUAUUAAUUAAUAAGAAAGAAAAUAAAAUAAAAUCAUGUCAACAUAUUAUUCUAUCCGAUCAUCUAAUGUUUUAGAAUUGUCCCAUCAAUUAGUUUUUCUUUUUUUGGGUAUAUGAUGGUCUUUCAUUAAGAUACAUUGUUGGUUCUUUAUUCUCUUUUCUUAUUUUUUUAUUAUUCAUUAUUAUCGAUCUAAGAAAUAAAAUCAUAUAUUAUAUAUCAGUUGAAUCCAUUCAUCAUCAACCCAAAACACUUUGGAUUGAUUCUUUUUCUUUAGAUGUCUAUAAAAUAUGAUUUGAUUUUCAUCAUAUAUAUAUAUAUAUAUUAAUGAGAAAAUAAAUAUAGUUAUCUAGUUAUUAACCACUCAAUAGAUGAUUUCUCUUGAUCGAUAAUACACUAAUGAUCAAUUAUCAUCCAACACAUAAUCAUCACAUUGAAGCUAUCAUUUAAGAAAAAUAUCUAAGUCACUUUUUAUUUGUCUGACCGCAUGAACCAAAGUCUAAGAUAGAUCGUUUGAGGUUCUCCUGCAUGUGAAUAAAAUGUCAAAAAGAAAAUAUUGGGAUAAGUAUAAAUUGUUUUAUCUGAGUUUAUAUAUAAAAGCUAAUCUCGAUAGUACAUCGAGAGCUCACUCUUUAAGAAAAACUUAUAUCUACCGAGCGAUCUCGAUCACUAACUUGAGUAUUGAAGAGAUCAGAUUGAGAAAUUUUCUUUGACAUUAAUCUUAGUAUAGAUAACAUUUCGAGAUCUCAACAUGAUUAUCUCAGAGCUACUUUAGAGCCACCUUAGUCACCAUCUCGAAUACGUCUACGUCCUUGAGUUUGGACUACGUUGAGUUAACUCAGACAUCAAUGAUGUUUCCCGUAACACCUCACUUGGUGAAAACGCUAGAGUUUAGCAACUUGUUAUAGACUUUUAUGAUAUUUUUUCUACCGUUUUAGCUAAUAUUUACGUGUCUAUGUAUCUAUCGAUAUAUUCGAUGGAGAUGUGGUGAAUCUAACUGUUCCUGGCUGUAAGAUGAGUACAGAGUACGUACUACUGUACAAUUCUUUUCUAUACGAGAAGAGGCCAAUCCUGGACGCGGAUCAUUGAUCAACCCAGGAAGCAUCCUCCUUUAUUCGCAUUGCUUUCCCACCAACUUUUUGUUUCUUUUACUUGGAACAUCUUGCUUUACUUUAUUCACAUUGCUUUCGUACUUUUUGUUUCUUUUCUUUCCAACAUUUUACUUCUUUUUUUUAAUUUAAUAUUUCCCUUUGCACUUAUCACAGGGCACUAACAAAUAACAGAUGGCCUGUUUGCACAUCGACUCCGGUGGAAACCACCGAGACUUCGGCGGUCCCAUCGGACACGCGUUGUUAGAGGAUCAAAAAGGAAUGAGAGCCAGAGGUCAGGCAUCUCCAAUCGGACAUCCCAACCAUGGAGUCCACAGCAAGAGCAUUUGGUCUGAUCUGGAAUCAGCAGACCCAAUCAAACGCGGGUUCCAGUUACAGCUCUUCACGAACGUCACCCAGCACGUACAAACCCUUUUUAUCUUCUCGAGAAGUCAAUAGUUCACGCAGGAAAUAGUUUGUCGAGUAAUCUUUUUCCAGGAUGCAUGCCGAACACGUCCAUUAGUUGACGUCAGGCAAGCAGUGACUAAAAAUUCCAUAGUUUUGGAAUCUGUAAGCAGGCCGGGAAUUGGAUGCCGAGGAGCUUCCCACAGAUUAUGCUUCUGGUCGUUUGGAUGGUGACGCAUCAUCGGCAAUGAGAUAGUGCAGUCGACAAAACUACACCACCGUUCAGCACCAGAGGGAGGGGAAGGUUGACGAUUUCCAUAACUUGAAAAUGUCAACAAAAGUUAGUCAAUUGUCAUGUGCUCCAUUCAACGUUUUGUCGGUCAACACUAAGACUUGGCUCCACCAACCCACUACAAUGAUUUGAAUCCAUGUUGCAUGAGAAGCUGCGCGACCAAACGCCGGGGCUUCCAUAUAAGAGGGUGGAGGAGGGGAGCCACUCCACACCCUGCAAGUUGCUAACUUUCACUUGUUGUUACCGCUGGUUCUCGUCCAAGUCCUAGAAUUGCGAAGAUGGUUAGCAUCGAUGCCUUCCGGAAGGCCCAAAGACCUCAAGGUCCGGCCACCAUCAUGGCCAUCGGGACGGCCAAUCCCCCCAACCUCUACGAGCAGAGCACUUUCCCGGACUUCUACUUCCGGGUCACCAACUCCGACCACAUGCCGGAACUCAAGGAAAAGUUCCGCCGCAUCUGUAAGUUUACAUCCGUGUGUGUGCUCGCGCUGCGAUUCUUCGUCUAAACAGUACUUGAGAAAAGCUAAUUCGCUCUGUUGCUCGCGCUGUUCACGAAGGUGGGAAGACCAUGAUCAAGAAGCGGUACAUGCACCUCACGGAGGAGGUCCUCAAGCAGAAACCCGGAAUGUGCUCUUACAUGGACCCCUCAUUCGACGAGCGCCAGGAAAUCGUCGUGGAGGAGGUGCCGAGGCUCGCCAAGGAAGCCGCCGCCAAGGCCAUCGAAGAGUGGGGCCGCGACAAGUCAGGCAUCACCCACUUGGUCUUCUGCUCCACCAGCGGCAUCGACAUGCCCGGCGCCGACUACCGCCUCGUCAAGCUCCUCGGCCUCCCCCUAUCCGUCAACCGCAUCAUGCUCUACAGCCAGGCCUGCCACAUCGGCGCCCAGAUACUCCGCAUCGCCAAGGAUAUCGCCGAGAACAACAAGGACGCCCGUGUGCUCGUGGUGGCCUGCGAGCUCAACACGCUCAUCUUCCGAGGCCCAGACGAGCGCGACUUCCUGAGCCUCGCAGGCCAAGCCGCAUUUGCGGAUGGAGCAGCAGCGGUCAUCGUCGGCGCGGAUCCAAUCCAAGGCGUCGAGAAGCCCAUCUUCGAGAUGAUGUCUGCGGCACAGGUGACGGUACCGGACUGCGAAAGGGCCGUCGGAGGCCAUCUCAAGGAGAUCGGUCUCACCUUCCAUUUCAUGAACCAGCUUCCCAUGCUCAUCUCCAACAACUUGGAGAACUGCCUCCUGGAGGCGUUCAAGCCAUUAGGCAUCACCGACUGGAACGAGGUCUUCUGGGUCUCCCACCCGGGGAACUGGGGAAUCAUGGACGCCAUCGAGAAGAAGGUGGGGCUCAAGCAGGAGAAGCUCCGGUCGUCGAGGCACGUGUUCGGUGAGUACGGGAACAUGAUGAGCGCCACGGUUCUCUUCGUGAUGGACGAUGUGAGGAGGCGGUCGGCGGCGGAGGGGCGGGCGACAACCGGCGAUGGGUUGGAGUGGGGAGUGCUCUUCGGCUUUGGACCGGGCCUCACCAUCGAGACCGUGGUGCUUCGCAGUGUGGCUAUCUAGAUUUCGCAGCAGAAACAGGAAUCCGGUGGACUUGUUCGUACCAUAUUAAGUGAAUUAUUUCCGUUUUAAUUCUUGCGGUGGAACUCCAUUUGGCUUCUAAGCUUAAAUAAAAAGCUGCACAGAGUUAACGUACAAAUUCUUGUUUGAUUAUUAUGUUCGUCUCGUUGCUCAACACCAAUGAACAUGUGGUUUUCAAUCUAAGAUGAUGAUUAUGAUAGAAUGAAGAAUGAAGUCGUAAAGUUUAAAAAGCAUGCAUCGAUUAAUUUGAUAUGAUAUCUAUUUAUACAUGUUGAAAGAGAGUAUUUUGCUUAAAAAUAUAAGAUUUUCUCAUGCAGUUGGAGAAAUCUUAUAUACUGUGCAGUUGAAGAAAUCUCUCUACUAUCAUAUUAAGCGUAUGAAUAAUUCGAACCUCACUCACUCUAAUUCUUUGAAGUUUAGUAUUGCUCACCUAUUAAUUGACAAUUUUAUUGCAUCCUACCUUUUCUACGAAUAUUUCCCUUGCGUACUUCUACAACUCAAUUUCUAGACUUAAACGAUGAUCUCUGCUAUAAACAUUUAGCAUCGGCAAAUGAAUAUACCAUUCGAUAUGUCAAUCCCUUAUCGUGGAAUGAACUGAACUCAGAACAUUGUCUAUCCCUUCGGAUGCUUGCUGACCUUUUCUCCGUGAGAGCAUACGGUUUGGCAUCUUCCUCUAUCAAAUCAUCUAACGAAGGCCGUGAGGUUCCUGCUCAUCUUCGCAGAGAGGUGACCGAAUUGGUCGCCGCAUCGCUUUCCCGAUGUCGCGGUUGGCCAGGGGAAGGUGAUGCACAUUUUCACUGCUCCAAGCUGGAAGGUUACGGUCCUCAUCGGGUGCCGUCGAAGCAUAAUUAAGAGAAGGAUACCCGAGAGAUGUUGAUGACUUCUUGUCAUCGGUGCAUAGCUUAUAAUUCUUCUUCAGUCUCGUGUUGUUGUCCUCUGCAACUUUUGUUGACCAUUCGUUUCUAGUCUUGAAGGUGGGAGCCGUCCUCGGUAGUUGGACGGGGCCGGCAUUGAGUUGAAAUUUCGACGAGCAUAUAUGAGCGACAUUUGUCAGUUGCAAUGAAAUUAUGCGCAUUGACUAUUUACGAGUCCCUCCGACCGACCGACCGUCGAUGCAAUUGCAAUGGAGCUGCACGCGGAAGACGGAUUAGGGUGCGGUCUUUCUAAAAGAGUCACGAAAAUAAUAACAAUGAUUGGGAUACUAGUAAAUUUCAUUCAGUUUUAACUGUCAAGUAUUUGAAUCUAUCCUAAAUUUAUUUCAUAUGAUAUCAUUUUUUAUUUAUAUUUGAUAAGAAAUAUAAAAUCAUCAGCUCAUCAUUCGUCACACCAAUAACAUGUCAGGUUAACACUCUUCAGUCCACCAAGAUAAAAGUCCAGAAGUUAACUUAGGUAAGUUAUUGAGUUAUUGAGAUCCUCAGGAGGUGUAAAAUAUUCAUAGGAAUAUUUUCGAUCGAUUAUGAAUUGGCUCUUUAGCGAAAUAUUCAUAUGAAUAUUUUUGAAAUAUUAGAAUGUAGUUUGAGUCAGUUACGAAUCGACUCUUCGACGAAAUAUUUAUAAGAAUAUUUUUGAAAACUUAAAAGGUAGUUCGAAUCAAUGAACUACCUUCCUAUAAUAUUCUUUCUCAUUAAGAUUAAUAUAAAAAUUUUUAAUUUUAUAUUAGAGAGGAGAAAUAGAAAAAGGUGAAACUCGGCUACUAACUUAAAGUAUCAAAACAAUCAACUUGGGUAACUCUCUGACCUCGAUCUUUGUACAAGAAAUGAGUCUAGAGAAAUCGAGCUCUACCUUGGUCGAUUCCUCGUAUAUGGAUUGGAGUCGUAUUGAUAUGAAUAUCAAUAAUAUUUUUCUUUUAUAAUAUUCUUUUCCAAUAAAUACCCUAGCAGAAGGGAAAACACAAAAACCCAAAUUUUGUUAGUAUUAUAAGAAUCACAAUGGAUGCCGAUGAGCUUUUCAUAUUCCAAAACGAAACCCGAUCUUCGUAUAUCUUUUUCUCCUAUUCAAUAAUAUUAACUCAACGUCGUUCUUAUUAAAAAAACACCCACGAAGUGCUCAAUAUCGAAUUAGUUUCAUCUUAUUAGACAUCGACUCGAAAGACAAUUGUACAGAAACUCCUCGACGACUAGUCCGCUACGCACCGCAGGCGAGUUCACAGCUGUAGACAACCCCACGCAGAUUUCAGUGAUCCAUUCGACGUCGAAGUAAGAAGCAUGGUGUUGAAGACGAAGUCCGUUUGCUCCAUCUAUUUGGUGAAUGCACGCAUCGCGAAGUCGAUAGGCCUUUCUCGCCUACUGACAAGGCAGUGCAUGCGUACGUCCAACGUAAGUAUAAUAUGUAUAUAUGUAUAUGUAUAUGAUCAAUAAUUAAAUGAAGGUUACGUAAAUCGUUUGGGAAUGCGUGCAAGCUGAUCUUGCCAAAAGCGGACAAGAUGAUGCAACAUGAGCACCUAUUCAAGGAACCAUCGGUAUUUCUGCCCAGCGGUUGGCGUGGGUCGGCCAUGUCCAUCACAUGUGCUAUAGAAGUUGCUAGGCAAGUCAAUGCCUACCCAGUCAACCACGCCCUACCGCGUCGUUCAUGUGACAUGGAAACGGGUAAGCGUACAUCAUCACAUACGUCCUUUCUUUCAUGCAUGGAUCAAAAACUGAGGGCAAACAAGAUCUUGAACAAUUCAUUCAUGCAUCCAACCAUUAAAUUCCUCCGUUAAGUGGGUGGGAAGAGACCGAGCGAUGGACUCGGAGCAGCAUCGAUCGAGUCAGCAAGCAUAGUCUUACUUUGUUUACAUUGCUUUCCUAUCUUUUAACUUUCUAUUUUGCUUUAGUCAAAUUGCUUUCCCACCUUUCUGUUUCCUCGCUUUCCGCUGGCAUCAGCGGUAAACCACAUGGAUGAUAUACGAGCCACGCGUCGUCCGUGUUCGAUUUGGACAUUGCAAUACACGGUUGUUUGUGAUUGGCUGCAGCUUUUACUUACCCAAAAUGAUACAGACUAGAACGAAAUCGCUCGGUCUCAUCUGGCGUAAUCAAACAUGGAGUCGAGUUCCUCCACCGUUCACAAACAUCGUCGAGCAAUCUUAAAAGCCUUUGGUCUCUCUCCGUUCUCAAAGAGCCAUUAGUCAUAGUCUCGGAACACUUGCUUUCAAUAGGAUGUUGUUUGACUAAUCAUCCAUAGUGGCGAAAUGUUGAAGAAAGUGGGGUUGGUGAAGAAACUGCCGCAGACUGUGUUGAUCAAGUUUUGGAUUGGUCAGAAUCAGCAAUAACCACGGUUGGUGGGUAGGCGAAUUCGAAACUCCCUCAGUCAAAUUAACUCUAAGCACGUGGGGAACCACCUACGGUCAACGUUUUCAUCGGUCAGCAGGAAGACUUGGCUCCACCAACCACCCUUUGCAUGAGAAGCUGCAAGGCAAAAACACACCAAGGGUAGCUGGCUGCUGAGGGCCUUCGUAUAAAUGGGCGGAGGAGAAGACCCACUCCUCCCAUCCUGCACUCUCUAACUUCACUGCUGCUUUGAUCCAUUCCUUCCUCGCUUGAUCUCCUUCUGGUGCUCGCUGCUCCUUCUCCUCCCAGAAUUGUGAAGAUGGCCAGCGUCCAUCCAUUCCGCAAGGCCCAAAGAGCACGAGGUCCGGCCACCAUCAUGGCCAUCGGGACGGCCAAUCCUCCCAACCUCUACGAGCAGAGCACUUUCCCCGACUUCUACUUUCGGGUCACCAACUCCGACCACAUGCCGGAACUCAAGGAAAAGUUCCGCCGCAUCUGUAAGUAUACAUCUGUGUCUGCUGCGAUUCUCCGUCUAAAAAAGAGAGAAAAAGCUAACUUGCUCGCUCUGUGCGUGAAGGUGGGAAGACCAUGAUCAAGAAGCGGUACAUGCACCUCACGGAGGAGGUCCUCAAGGAUAAACCAGGGAUGUGCUCCUACAUGGACCCGUCUCUGGACGAGCGACAGGACAUCGUGGUGGAGGAGGUGCCGAGGCUCGCCAAGGAAGCCGCCGCCAAGGCCAUCGAAGAGUGGGGCCGCGACAAGUCCGACGUCACCCACUUGGUCUUCUGCUCCACCAGCGGCGUCGACAUGCCCGGCGCCGACUACCGCCUGGUCAAGCUCCUCGGCCUCCCCCUAUCGGUCAACCGCAUCAUGCUCUACAGCCAGGCCUGCCACAUCGGCGCCCAGAUGCUCCGCAUCGCCAAGGACAUCGCCGAGAACAACAAGGACGCCCGUGUGCUCGUGGUGGCCUGCGAGCUCAACACGCUCAUCUUCCGAGGCCCAGACGAGCGCGACUUCCUGAGCCUCGCAGGCCAAGCCGCAUUUGCGGAUGGAGCAGCAGCGGUCAUCGUCGGCGCGGAUCCAAUCCAAGGCGUCGAGAAGCCCAUCUUCGAGAUGAUGUCUGCUUCACAGGUGACGGUACCGGACUGCGAAAGGGCGGUCGGAGGCCAUCUCAAGGAGAUCGGUCUCACCUUCCAUUUCAUGAACCAGCUCCCCAUGCUCAUCGCCAACAACUUGGAGAACUGCCUCCUGGAGGCGUUCAAGCCAUUAGGCAUCACCGACUGGAACGAGGUCUUCUGGGUCUCUCACCCGGGGAACUGGGGAAUCAUGGACGCCAUCGAGAGGAAGGUGGGACUCAAGCAGGAGAAGCUCCGCUCGUCGAGGCACGUGUUCGGUGAGUACGGGAACAUGAUGAGCGCCACGGUUCUCUUCGUGAUGGACGAUGUGAGGAAGCGGUCGGCGGCGGAGGGGCGGGCGACAACCGGCGAUGGGUUGGAGUGGGGAGUGCUCUUCGGCUUUGGACCGGGCCUCAGCAUCGAGACCGUGGUGCUUCGCAGCGUCGCCCUCUAAUAGGGUUUCUCACCUCCAAAAUUAUGAAAUUUUUUUUUCUUUCUUUUCGCAUUCUUUCCUAUUUGAAUUUGUAAGAGAAUAAUGUAAACUACAUAACGUUGUCGAUGCAUAUACCCUUUUUCUUUUCUUUUUUUGUAUUUCUGAUUUUUAACAGUGUUUGACUGAUAUAAGAAAAAAUAUCAACCCAACAAACAACAUCGUUUUCUUUGUUUUAACCGCACAAUAAUUGACGCCUGCCAAUUAAUGCCAGAAGAACCUAUAAGAAAAUAAAUAAGAUGACUGACGAUUAGUAGUAUUUCGGGCAUGCGGUGUAAGAAUGCAGUAGUAAAAUAAUAAUAAUAAUAAUAAUAAUAAUAAUAAUAAUAAUAAUAAUAAUAAUAAUAUUAUUAUUAUGAAUAGUUAAUCCCGCAUUGCCGUAUGGGAUCUGAUUUGAAGUGGGUGGACAUCGAGUUGUGCCAUCGUGGAAUAUUCACCUCAUGUGGAUUAUCUGAAAAGUUUUGCAGCCAGCAGGGCAUCGCACCACACAUGGGAGUCUAGAUUUGACCCUCCGGUUGCCUCCUGCAAACGUAUUAGGAAACCCACUCAACCCAAGCUACGAUCCUAUCUGAAUUAUGAGAUUUCAGGGAUUCCAUAAAACGUAAUAAAGAAAGACAAGACCAAACUAGCUACGAUCCUGUCUGAAUUAUGAGAUUUCAAGGAUUCCAUUAAACGUAAUAAAGAAAGACGACCAAUCUAGCUACGAUCCUAUCUGAAUUAUGAGAUUUCAAGGAUUCCAUGAACCACAAUAAAGAAGGACCAAACUAGCUGCGAUCCUAUCUGACUCGUGAGAUUUCAGGGAUUCUAUAAAACACAAUAAGGAAAGACCAAAGUAGCACAAACUAGCAUGAUGAGGCUUGUCCGCAACAGCUUCAGAUUUCAACGGGAAUGUGUAUCUUACAAUCACCACAAUAAUAUACAACAUUACGAAACAUUUGGACGUAUACAACAACAAUAAUAUACUUCAGCUGUCUACGGCUACGGCUCAUCCCUGAGCCAGUGUUGAAUCAUGUAGACAACGAAAGCCCCACACAACAUCACUGACCCCAGAACAACCAAAAUCUGGACCCACAACAAUGAAAUAAAGGCUUCUAAUACAAAAGAAUGCCACAGCCAAUACCAUGCAACACCACAACAGGACCCCAGUAGAGCACCUACAAGGACUUGACUGUAAGUGUGGAGCUGCUGUGAUACCCGAAGCCAUGACUGCAUCAACAAAAAAGAUAGAAAGGGAACACAACUCAGUCAUGAAGUCAUAUUUCAUUAGACAGAGAAAGCAAUACAAGAGAACAAAAAAAAGGUUAGGUUAUGUGUGUUAUCCAAUGAAUCUGCAGAGAUGGACCUUGAUGUAUAAAAACAUGGGACAAAUAUAGCUAAGAGAUUCAAGAGAACAGAGACAUGGAUGCAUGUAUCAAAUAGCUCUUACACCAUAUACAUCUUCAAUCAGUUUCUAACAGAACAUUCGUACAAGUUUAAAUGCACUUGGAGAUCACCAAACUCUUUCAAAUCAAAUUUCUGUAUGUGCUUGGUGAGCUGUCAGAUCGAUGAUGCAUAACUGUCUAGUUGUCUAUUUUGAGGUGAGGACAGGAUCGUUUCCAUCUCCCCUGUCUUCUAAGGUUCUUACACAGCUUUCCUAUCUACUUCAAUCUUAAAGAUUAAUUUCUAAUUCUUAGCAGACUACUCAAGCAAAACACAUCGUCGGACUCAUAUAUGAUAUCUACUUCAAUUUGUGCUGAUACUCUUUUCGCAAAUUUAUUGGUAGAUACUAGUCGAUAUCAGUUAAUCUAAAUACAACAUUUAAAUAAGCUAAAAUCGUACUAUUAUAAAACUUAUAGAUUAAAAUAUGUAGAUUCUUAAAGAGCAUAAGACUGAAUUAAGUGAUCUAUCAAAAUGAACUACCCUGAUUGGAAGUUACGGAACUUAUUAUGGAACAUAAUUUAAAAUGAAAGUUAAUACAACAUGCAUGCCUUAUGAGCUAUUCUAAUAGUAGAAGUUUCUGUCUGCAUCUUAGAUUAAUGGUUUGAAGUUAUGCAUGGGUUUCUAAUGAGGGAAAGGUUGUUAGCAAAGAGAAUAGUGGGAGCCUAUAAAUAGGGCUCCCAAUUCAGAGGAUGAAGGGGGCACGUGUCCCCUUGGAUCCCUUCACUCAGCAAGUGAUAUUUGCAGCUACAAUUGAGAAUACAUGGCAAUCCUUUGCCAUCCUAAUUCAUCUAGAUAUAUUGCUACUUAGAUGUAUGAUUUCAGAGAACAUAAAUUUAAGUGUUCUUCCUUGAACUUCGAGAGAACUGACAACACCUGUACUUGAUAAGGUAAACACCAAACUUUCCAAUCUUGAUUAAUUUAAAAAUAUAACAGGAACUGGAAUUGAAAACACAGAGCCACAUAUCUAUAGAUAUUUAACAUCGACAUUUGCGGAACUUGGAUUUCUUGGUCAAGCAAAAGGUUACUGGAUGAUUCUUGCACGCAAAAAUGUGCUCUCCGAUCAGAAAAUCUUGUACGCCAUAAAAUGUAAAGUGGAAAUAUCAGAAACUUUCUUACAAGAUAAGAGCCAAACAAUAAGGCAAUACUUCCAAUAGACACCGUGAAUGCAUCUAUCCCCAGAUGAUUGACCACUGCAUCAGAUGAAAACCCAUGACAAAGUAUUACACAUAAAACAUAAAUAUGGCAUGUGAAAAAAAAAAACAAAAUAAAGUAUCAAAAUGCCAUAUAUUUGCAAAAGGCACUCUCAUCCUAGAAGAUGUCAAAUUGACAGAAAAACCUUGAAUGACAAAAGAUGCAUAGUCAGAAUGCAAAAUAAUCAUUACUUGUUAUGAGAUUGCGCUCUAGAAGUAUCAAAUAUAUGCAGUCACGGAACAUCCUCUAAAAUGCUAAGUAUUACAUACUAAUAGUAACAACUCUGAAUAAUAUGGUAAGGUUGUCAAAAAUGGUUUAACCACAAGAUGUUUCGCAUAUGCAUACAAACAAUACAUAAGCAGAGUGAACCAAGAAGUUCCAAACCACAGUCACCUAUUCCCGGCUCUCUGUUAUUUAGGUGAGGGACAUGGAUCAAACAUCAAUUAUAUUGAUAACCUAGGGACUUGGCUGGAAACCCUGAUCAAAAGGUUACAAAAACUUCCAGCACCUACAGGAUUCCAUCAGUCCUUAAUAAACCUGAAUCAGUCUUUUUUCUCAGGAAAUGUCCUGCGAUGUUAUGAUUAAAAUAGUGAAAAUUCUUAAACUUUAUUGAAGUAUGCUAGAUCACCUCAUCUCCAAAAUCUAUCCUGUUGUGCUGGCUUUCUCCGUUUAUGUUAUAAUUUGGCAAAGGAUGCACUUAAUUAUUACAACCAUUUCAACGCUAGAAGUAUUGUCAUAAGGCAUGUACAAGAUUGCAAUUGUAGAAGAAUGCAUAUUGAUAUUCUAGAAUGUCAGUGUUACUUGGCCAGUCGCAAAAGGCUGCCAUGUUCCUGUGCUCUGAGAUAAACAUCCCAAAGUUAUGGCAUAGGACAUGUGUAUGACUGUUAGAUAUAUGCAUUUCAAAAGCAUGUAGAUGUUUUUCAAAGACAGAUGAUUUCUUUAUACAACUUCCAAAAGCUUAAGUCAGUCAUUGUCCUAGAUUAUUCUAGUCAUUGAAAUAUUUAGACUCCUAAAAAUACUUUAACAGUAAAAAGUGAAAAUCAAGUGCCCAAGUGGCAGUAAUACUUGCAUAUACUUUUUUCAUGAAGGGAUAAAAUGCCCAUCGCUUAAGCAGGCAGCCUUCCAGGCUCAGCCUUUUGUUCCCCAAGCAUAUCGCCUUUACUCUUCCUUUUUCUUUAAUACCAUAUUUUGUCAUUUGAGGACCAUGGUCCAGACAGAUCAGGUAAGUAGGUUACUGUUUCCCCAUAACCUGCAGAAAAAAACUUUUUGCUUGGUUCAGACGGUAAUCCUACCCUUGGUUCAAAAUUAACGUUUGGUCCGACCAGGGAGCAAUACUAGUCCAAUAUUGAGAUAUAAAACCAUGUUCAGAACCAAGAAUUAUUACUGCUGUUGUUGCAUUCAUGUCAGAAUGGACUUUCAUACACAUUACAACUGAGCUUAAUAUAUCCAUGCCAUGCCAAAAAGCAUCUAUUCUUGAUCAUCACAUUUAGUUUGUGUAACUAAGAGUAAAGAUCUUAUGUUUUUAAUAUAUCAAUCCAGACCAAACAUACUAAGAGUGUUACUAUACCACAACAACCGAAUAUUUGACCCUAAUCUGACCCAACUGUUAAAGUGGGAAUCAAUAAAAUAUGAUUGAUUGUGAUGUUGGUUGGGUAUUGAUCUUUUAAAUUUUUAAUACUGCAUCUCAUAACACAUGAUAUCAAUGGGUUACUAACCGACAAUGAAGCCUGAAUGGUGCAGAUGGAUGCCAACACCCUAGACUUCCACAUCUCUUUGACCCUUUCCAUUUAGAACAACUGUGGUGACAUGACAGUGUUCUGCGCCAUCCCAACAGUACAUAUUGUUUUACCAACCUAUAUAGACAUGUACCAUAGAUUGUGUUGUGCCAAGUAUGCCACAAAGAUAUUUUCUAUAUGAAAUCAUACUAUUGUUACCACAAUAGUAAAUCCAACAUUUCUAUUCUUACUACAAUAGUGAACAUGACAUCUUUUCUUCGGCUGUAUGUAAAUAUCAAAUGUUUCACUUUUGUAGCAGGCUCUGAAACUUCACAUUAUCAACUCUGAAUUAUAAAAUUGUCCAAGCCAUAACUCCCAGUCAAAUAAAAAUCGAACAUGUCUUUUUAUGCCCCAUCUCUUGUGGGGAUUGAAAUUGAACAAUCCGCUCACAGAGAGUUGUCUUUUUCAAAGACGUGAUGAUGCGUUGACGGUAAUACUGCUUCUUGAUAUCUCUAAACUAAUUGUAACUUUUAUUAAAGAACAUGUAAAAGAUAGUUGUCCUAUGAAUAAGCCUAUUGGAGAAAAGAUAUUUUCGUUUCUCCUGUCAGCAUCAGAUAGCCGCACUGCUAAAAUUGUAAAUUUGCAUUUCGAUUCACAUACAACAAUUAAAUCUACCAAUUAGUAAAAGCUUACUUGAAAGAAUAAAAAUUGCUUCGAUAUAGAAGAUGGAUUGUGCAUGAGAAGAUGGCAUUCCAGGAUCAGGUUUCAAUCCAGCAACAGGUCUUUCGUGGUUCAAUAUCCUCUUUAAUGUAACAGAAAGCGAAACAUUUAUAACCGAUCCCGUUGCGUCCCACAAGAUCUCGGCAUCAUGCUUCCACAGAAUUGCGAGGCCAAAGAGAGCAGCCACUAACCACUUGCUCUGGAACCAUAAAAAAACUGGUCAAAAUAAAUUCAGUUUAAAGAAAAAUAUGCCAGCAACAUGGGUGCCGGAAACAAUAAAAUAGAAACAUAUAAGAACUGGAUCACUUGUACAUCUGAAAGCUUUGCACAAAUAAAUGUAUUUUCCAUAUCCUGCUCAAGUGCAAGACCACAAAUAAAAUACUUUCUAGCGAUGCACCAGAUGCCAUCAGAUACAGUGAAAUCAAGAAUCUUAUUCCAAGUCGCAUCUUCUAACUGUUGAGAAUGCUUUCCCUCGGAGUGUGAAUUCGGUCCCUUCAAUUCAGUGAAUAAAGUCACAAAAGUUAUAAAUAAUUGCCAGGUGAUGAGGUCUCGAGAGCCGCUGCCUAACCCCAUCAUGGAGAAUAACCAUGGAGAAACAUAUAAAAGUUGGUACAGAACGAUUGCUGAAAGCCUUGGAAUCGGACUAACCGUUCCAUUGAGAACCGCUUCGAGGUUUCUCCAUGUAAAGUCUCGAUCCAAGUUGAACGGCCCCGUCCGUAGCAUCGCCUCCACCUCCCCCGGUGCAGUAUCCUCCUCGAUAUCCUGAUCGCUCCCUAAAGCUGCCAGUCUAGUCAACUCGGUCAUGCUACCUCUGCGACCAGACACCGUUGACCUUCCGCUGAGAUGGGAUUUUGAUCUUGAUCCGAGCCGAGGGGUCAAAAUUGGAAUUUUAGAGGCGUGGCGCUGAUGGUACGAGUAGGGCGAGAGGGGUUUCAACGGCGGAAGAUCGAUGGCGGCCGAGGAGGGGAGGGGGAAAGACGGCAUCUUGUGGACGGGGUAGAGGUUGCAGCGACGAGCAUCCUAAGGAAGGGAAUAAAAAGAGGCAUUUGUAGGAGUAGAAGGCAUCCACAAAUUUGUCUGUUUGGCGCAUCGGAACACCCUUUCUAAAGCCGUCCACAGCCUUCCGGCCGAAGGGGAUGUGGUCUCCGCCGCCCACCUCUUUCCCACGAGGUUUUGUUGUGUUAAAAAUUUGGUUUUUGGUGGAAAAUUCUAAUUGAAUACGUUCGUUUUAAAAGAAUAAUUACGUUUCUACUUUUACCUUAUCCGCUAAACACACAAUUACUUUCCUUCUGAAAAGAACACGUGGAACGAAUUAUGUUCUCACUGUCAACCCAUCAAUUAUUACUUUAAAAGAAAUAUAAAUUUAUUAUAAAUAUCAGAUAAUGUGGACGUAAAAAUAUUAUGAGAAUAAAGGAUUUAUGGUUCCAAAUAAUUAUUCUAAUUUAUUAAACAAUAAUAAAGAAACAAAGAAAUUUCUAUACUGAUUUCCUUUGGGUCCGUAAAUAAAAGACACAAAUACAUUAGAUAAUGUCAAUAGCAUUUAAUACCUACCAUCAAAUUGUAUAAUAUUUUUUUAAAUCCUUCGACACAUAUUGUUGUUGUUGUCUGAGGUGUCCACUCAUUCUUGUGAUAUUGUAAAGCAAAUGGUAUCCACACACCGUACCACUUUAUAUAUAUAUAUAUAUAUAUAUAUAUAUAUAUAUAUAUAUAUAUAUAUAUAUAUAUAUAUAUAUAUAUAUAUAUAUAUAUAUCGGGAGUAGGCUUUUGUUAAAAGCUUCUAAAAAUACGGAGUGUGUUGGGCUUGCCUUCCGUCUUCUUGUCACGAAUGUACUCGGCUAGGUUUCUCCGCGGAUCAUCUUAACACAUGUCCCGCGCUUCUAGAAUAAUCUACCCACCACUAUAUAUGAACCACUACCCCGAAGUUUUGAGAGAGGAAAGAGGGAGGAGAGCGGAGGAGAGGCGACAUGGAUCUUGAGGCCAAUUCCUUCCUAGGAGAUGGAUGUUGAAGCGAACUUCUUCUCCUUCCUCCCUCCCUCCGAUCCUUGAGUCUUAACCCUAGACGGAGAGAUGGUCGGCGACGAUGGAAUGGCGGAGAUCCUCCAACUCUUCUGUGCGCGAAGCAAUUUCCAUCCGGAUCUUUUCCUAUCGAGGUAUUUGUAAAGAUCCCCAAAUUACAAGCCCUUGGAUUCUUGACUCUUUCGCUUGUGAUUUCUUUUGCUUCUGUUGUCACGACAUUCGUUUGCAAGAAUGUUGGCAAGAUGUUGUUCUGCAAGAAAAGGAAAUGGGGAUCUCGAAGAGUAUCUCCUCGAACCGUCUUAAGGGCACUUAAUUAAACUUUAUAAUCUAUACCGAUCCUUGAGUCUGACCCCUGAAUGAAUAAGCGACAUAAUAUGGUGGAGAGGUAGAAGAUCCUCUAGAUCUCCUGCGAUGUAUUGGUAAACAUCUCCCAAAAGUAAUCGUUCUUGUAUUCUUGAUUUUUUUUUUAAUCUUGAGUUGAUACGUUUGAUUGUUGAACUGGUUCCUUUUGGUAUUGCAUAACGUGUCCAGAUUGUUUGUGAUUUCUUUUUCUUUUGUUAUUAAGAAUCCUAACAACUUCACAUGUCCUUUCCAAAGAUGUUGUUAGAAUGUCCUUCGGCAAGAAAAUGAGGAUUGGGAUGUGAUUCAUCAUCCUAAAGGUUGAUGAAUUAGAUUAUAACCUUUACCAACUCACUUGAUUCCUCUUUGUUUGUUGUUUGGACUUCUCUUGCAAGAAGUUUAGGUAUGAAAAGUUAGUAAUCGUCUGUCCCAGAAAUUGAUCAUCUGAUUCUUGUGGUUUUUAUUGUCAUAAAUUACCUUUUGUCUGGCACUUCUUAGUGCUAGCCUAAAUGAAAUAGGUUAUUUUGUUAACUAAAUGACACCAUCAUAUUUUCUGACCUUGGGAUCCAUUGGAUCUUUAAUUUGCUUGUUCCUAUUCCUACCUUGGUCUCAUCUUGGGGUCUUAAGACAUGAUGGUUCUUUCAUGAUCUCCUGGUCAUGUUGCAUGUUAUGUUCACAUCUGAGAAUAUAGAAGAAGAUACAGGGUUAUUCUAUGUCUUACAUAUGAAGCUAGCACUGCUUGUGCUUCUUAAUCUGAUCCUAGUGUGAUUAUCAUACUUUUAUGCUACUUUUCUUUAAUUAUUAUUCUUCACAUGAUGAUCAAGAUCAUAAAUAAUGUCACCCCUUUGAAUUUACUUUACAUUUUGACAUAAACAAAUCUCUUCGAUAAGUUUGUUUUUGUUUUCAUAUGUGAGAUUAGCAAUGUUGAUCGGGUUACUAUAUCUUGAUCAAGAUGAUAUCGUAUGUCUUAUAUUAGAAUAUGAUCUGUGAAUCAAGGUCAUGUUGAUAUCUAUCUUUGAUUCCAUUAUGUAAUAAUUAGAUUUGAUUCUAUUAAUUGGUUUAAAAUUAAGUAGCUAAGGAAUGAAUUAUUUAGAUUAGCCUUCAUUUAUAAAAAGCAUGAACUUACCUUAAACUCUAGUUCAUCAUAAGUUUGAAAUUAACUGAUUAUAUAUGUUAUAGAUACGAUUGUGGAUAUAUAAAUACAUUAGGACAUUCUCGUUUAAAUUGUACAGAUUGGAUAUCCAGUCCAAUUAUAACUUGAUUAAGCUUGCCUAAUUUGGUUUCAAUUUUAAUUGACAUGAUCAUAAUAAUUUGUAGUUAUGCAAGCUAAGAUGACACCUGAGUAAGUUUCCAUUAUAAUCCUAAAUAAAUUAGGAUAUCCUCGUUUGAAUUGUACAAAUGCUAUGUUUGGUCCAAUUACAACUUAAGUCGGUAAGUCUAAUUUGUGAUAAGUCAAUUUGAAUUUUGAAUGACUUGUGAUCAUAAUGGUAUUUAAUUUGUGAACAGCAUUUUUAUUCCCCAUGAUAACAUUCCAAUUCAAAGAUUCUUUUAAUCAAAUAUUAACAUCUAACUCUAGUCCUAUGGCCUUCAUAAUGAUAAAUUUGGUCAUGAUUGAUAUCGAGUUCAUUUAAUUAGUAAUUCUUUAUCAUGUCACAUUCAAUUAUAUUACCAGUUUUAAUUUGUUGUAUUUAUGUGGUCAUUUCAUCCUAUGUUCUGGAUCAAAUUAUGUCGACAUAGUUAAGAUCAAGUAGAUCAAAAUUGAUCAUCCAAAGGUUUAUUUAGCAUCCAUGAAAUUCACAAAUUUGACAAGUUAAUAUUAAUAUGUAAUUAAAUAUUUCAUUUUCACUUAAUUAAAUCAAGUGAUGCUUUCAUUUUAAUCCAAAUUUUAGUAUUUUGACCAAGUUGAUGUUUCCACAUGAAGUUGACCCUCCAAGGCCACAUUUUUAAUUAUUUGAUUUCUUGCUUGUUUAUUCUUCAGAUUUUGUUUAUCCGUUUUUAUAGAUGACUUGUUUGCUAAACUUUCCUCUCGUAUUCUGAGUUGAUAUUUUAAGGACUAAGAAAUAUUCUAAAAUGGAAUGCUAGAGUUGGGCAUGCUUCUUGAUUUGAUCCAACCAUAUUAUUAUACUUUUAUGGUGCCUUUUCAUUAGUUAUUCUACAUAAGAUGAUCAAGAUUGUAAAUAAUAAUAUACCUUUGAAUUUAUAAUUGAUUUUAAGAGGCAAUGAAAUUCAAUGACAGGGUUCCCCCCGAAAAUGUUUGUACGAUUUCCAUUGUAAAAUAUGUACCUCCAAUUUGUUCUUUUCAUAUAGUGGAACCAUUUGUGAGGUCGAUUAUAUGAGUUUCAAGAUGAAAAGCUUAGACAUUGCUGUUGGAUAAGAGGUAUGCCAACCGAAAGGAAGUUGCUUAUAACUGCAAGCAUUUGAAAAGCAAGAUCUCUACUAUCAUAUGCUUUGCAAUCUAGACUUGAGGAUCACUUGCACCACAAUUGUCUUAACCUUUUUGGGUUGCUCUAAUUGAAGCAUUUCUAACGUCUAAAGAUGUGGCAAAAAGCUUAAGGCGGAGCAUCGGGGAAGACGUCAAAGAUUAAGCUGCAUUGACUUUGUUUGUUUAUACAUUGAUUUUAUUGCACUGGAAACAAAAGGGUCGAGGGGGUGAAAUCCUUUGUAAAGGUUUGAUGUGGUCAAGGAUAUCCUUUGUAAAGGUUUGAUGUGGUCUAAGGAUAUCCGGUGGUAGGGCAUCUUUUUGUUGAAAUCAGGAUCAAUUAGAUUUGACCAUAUUAUUUGGCUUGGAAUUAAGUAGUUAAGGUUUGACAUAUUUUGCUUAGUUUUAUUCUUAAAGAUUUUUUUAUCACAUGUAUAUUUAGUUGACUAAGCUUGGAGUUAGCUAAUUAAGUACCUGUUAUACAUUUUUAGAUAAAGCCGCUUGCGGCAGGCAUGUCAUACAUUGUUAAUUGCACAAAGGUUAUCGCAUAUGUUCAUAGUUUGAAGGUGAGCGAGCACAUGUCGCUGGCGUAGUUGAUGUGUUCAAAGAUUUGGUGGUUAGACAUUUUGAUUAUUUUUUGUGUUCCGCGUAAAAGUUAUUAUUUUUCACUUUGGCAAUAUUUUCUUAAUUUUUUUAACUAUAAUUUUGUGUUCCGU